UGGUAAGUAUCUCGGAUCGCCUUACUAGCGUUCGGAGCUGGCUCCUCAAGUGCUGGAUCCGUUACUACAUAAAGGAUCCGCUCAUGCUCAAGGAUGAUUUUUAAUUUUCGAUACCAGCUAUCGAAAUUAGGUCGCAUGAGCUUGUCAUUAUCUAAUAAUGAUCGGAGCGACAGGGUAGUGGCCAUAGCUGUAUAAAGGAAAAUCAGAACUCUAUUAGUACAUAAAUUAAUACUAAAGAUUUGGACUUUAGUCUAAAGUUUUUCCAAUAUUUUUAUGAACUGGUAGCCUCAACCUCCAAUUCGAGGAAUUACUUUAAUUCCUUAAUGGGUACUAGAAUCCACACAGACUACACACGAGCCCAACUUUGGUUGGUCAACCCAUGUGCAUCUAUGGGUAGGUUCUUAACCAGUUGUUUCUCUAAACAACUUCUAGUAAUUGAUUUUGUCCCAGAACCUAAUCAGUAGGCUUUGGCCUNN
rnacentral:lncRNA from 1 species